rnacentral:rRNA from 1 species
UACGUAGGGACCAAGCGUUGUUCGGAUUUACUGGGCGUAAAGGGCGCGUAGGCGGCGUGUUAAGUCAGCUGUGAAAUCUCCGAGCUUAACUCGGAACGGUCAGCUGAUACUGAUGUGCUAGGGUGCAGAAGGGGCAAUCGGAAUUCUUGGUGUAGCGGUGAAAUGCGUAGAUAUCAAGAGGAACACCUGAGGUGAAGACGGGUUGCUGGGCUGACACUGACGCUGAGGCGCGAAAGCCGGGGGAGCAAACGGG